CCUACGGGUGGCAGCAGUGAGGAAUAUUGGACAAUGGGCGCGAGCCUGAACCAGCGAAGUCGCGUGAGGGAAGACGGUCCUAUGGAUUGUAAACCUCUUUUGUCGGGGAGCAAGAGACGCCGCUCGUGGCGUUCCAAGAGUACCCGAAGAAAAAGCAUCGGCUAACUCCGUGCCAGCAGCCGCGGGAAUACGGAGGAUGCGAGCGUUAUCCGGAUUUAGUAGGUUUAAAUGGAGCGGAGGUGGAUUGGUAAGUCAGUUGUGAAAGUUGGCGGCUCAACCCUAAAAUUGCAGUUGAAACUGGCAGUCGUGAGUACAGGAGAGGUGGGCGGAAUUCGUGGUGUAGCGGUGAAAUGCUUAGAUAUCACGAAGAACUCCGAUGGCGAAGGCAGUUCACUGGACUGCAACUGACACUGAGGCUCGAAAGUGUGGGUAUCAAACAGGAUUAGAUACCCCUGUAGUC
rnacentral:rRNA from 1 species